rnacentral:tRNA from 1 species
GCGGGCUUAGCUCAGCUGGAUAGAGCGUUGGCCUCCGAAGCCAAAGGCCAGAAGUUCGAAUCUUCUAGUCCGCGCCA